rnacentral:rRNA from 1 species
AUUGAACGCUGGCGGCAGGCCUAACACAUGCAAGUCGAACGAGUGGCGGACGGGUGAGUAAUGUCUGGGGAACUGCCCGAUGGAGGGGGGUAACUACUGGAAACGGUAGAUAAUACCGCAUACGCUCGGAUGUGCCCCGAUGGGAUUAGCUUGUGGUGGAGGUAACGGCUCACCUAGGCGACGAUCCCUAGCUGGUCUGAGAGGAUGACCAGCCAAACUGGAACUGAGACACGGUCCAGACUCCUACGGGAGGCAGCAGUGGGGAAUAUUGCACAAUGGGCGCAAGCCUGAUGCAGCCAUGCCGCGUGUAUGAAGAAGGCCUUCGGGUUGUAAAGUACUUUCAGCGGGGAGGCGUUACCCGCAGAAGAAGCACCGGCUAACUCCGUGCCAGCAGCCGCGGUAAUAC